UACAGAGGGUGCGAGCGUUAAUCGGAAUUACUGGGCGUAAAGCGCGCGUAGGCGGCUUUGCAAGUCGGGUGUGAAAUCCCCAGGCUUAACCUGGGAACUGCAUUCGAGACUGCAUUGCUAGAGUAUGGGAGAGGGAAGUGGAAUUUCCGGUGUAGCGGUGAAAUGCGUAGAUACCAUAAAGAACACCUAUUGCGAAGGCAGCUUACUAAGCUGUAACUGACGCUGAGGCACGAAAGCGUGGGUAGCGAACAGG
rnacentral:rRNA from 1 species